UCCCCAGUGGCUCAGAUGGUAAAGAAUCUGCCUGCAGUUCAGGAGACCUGGGUUCAGUCCCCAGGUGGGGAA
rnacentral:tRNA from 1 species